GGGCCUGUAGCUCAGUUGGUAGAGCACCGCGUUUACACCGCGGGGGUCGUCGGUUCGAGCCCGGCCGGGCCCA
rnacentral:tRNA from 1 species